AGAUGAAAAUGAUGUAAAGUUUUGGAAUGAAGAUGGAUUUUGAUAUUGAAAUUCAUUGAAUGAUAGAUUCCGCUACGUUCUUACUGAUUCAUCU